rnacentral:tRNA from 1 species
GUCUUCGUGGUGUAGUGGUCAGCACUCUCGACGCUUACUCGAGAGGUCCGUGGUUCGAGUCCUGGUGAGGGCA